GUGACGUCAGUUAUGUGUCAUGCUGUAGAAACCAAACAUAUUUGACGCAAUUUCUGUGACAUUCAGACGCUUAACAUGCGCAAAAAAGAGAAAUAUCAGUUCAGCAGAUAAUCACGUGAAAGGAAGCUGUCCACAACCAAGGAAAUUUUCUACGAACCUCCAGCCAACUUUGUGAACAAUACGACAGCUUGGAAAUGACAUUCGUUCACAGAAAAUAGUGGCUAGCUGAUUAUCUGAAACAGACCUAACAUUUUGGCGCGAUCGUAAAAUUGACAUAAAAUAAUGAACCUAUCAAGAAAAGAUGGCAGAGUAGGUGGCGGUUAUGAAAAACAGAAAAUUGCGCAGACAUGUCUGCCAUAUGCAAGUCGAAAUUUACCUUAUAUGUAAAUUAGUGUUUCUAAGUGUACAAUUAAAUCACCAAGGGUAUUAAAAUUUAAAUUAUGGUUAACAUGA